rnacentral:rRNA from 1 species
CCUACGGGUGGCAGCAGUGAGGAAUAUUGGUCAAUGGGCGGGAGCCUGAACCAGCCAAGUCGCGUGAGGGAAGACGGUCCUAUGGAUUGUAAACCUCUUUAGGCGGGGAGCAAUGCCGGGCACGCGUGCCCGGAGGGAGAGUACCCGCAGAAUAAGCAUCGGCUAACUCCGUGCCAGCAGCCGCGGUAAUACGGAGGAUUCAGGCGUUAUCCGGAUUUAGUGGGUUUAAAGGGUGCGUAGGCUGAAUGCCAAGUCAGCGGUAAAAUCGCGGGGCUCAAACUCGCUCCGCCGUUGAAACUGGAGUGCGGGAGGGGGCGAGAAGUAUGCGGAAGGCGUGGUGUAGCGGGGAAAUGAAUAGAUAGCACGCAGAACUCCGAGGGCGAAGGAAGCAUACCGGCGCCCAACUGACGCGGAAGCACGAAAGCGUGGGUAUCGAACAGGAGUAGAUACCCGAGUAGUC